UACGGGGGGGGCAAGCGUUGUUCGGAAUUACUGGGCGUAAAGGGCUCGUAGGUGGCCAACUAAGUCAGACGUGAAAUCCCUCGGCUUAACCGGGGAACUGCGUCUGAUACUGGAUGGCUUGAGUUUGGGAGAGGGAUGCGGAAUUCCAGGUGUAGCGGUGAAAUGCGUAGAUAUCUGGAGGAACACCGGUGGCGAAGGCGGGUCUCUGGGCCACUACUGACGCUGAGAAGCGAAAGCAUGGGGAGCGAACAGG
rnacentral:rRNA from 1 species